AUCGAGGCUAGAGUCACACUUGGGUAUCAGCUGUUGCCUUUGUGUGCUAGAGCCCUUGAAGAGUAACUGCUGACCUUAGUCACUCAC
rnacentral:snoRNA from 1 species